rnacentral:rRNA from 1 species
AUACGGAGGGUGCAAGCGUUAAUCGGAAUUACUGGGCGUAAAGAGUACGUAGGUGGUUCGUUAAGUCAGAUGUGAAAGCCCCGGGCUCAACCUGGGAACUGCAUUUGAAACUGGCAAACUUGAGUAUGGUAGAGGGGGGUAGAAUUCCUAGUGUAGCGGUGAAAUGCGUAGAUAUUAGGAGGAAUACCAGUGGCGAAGGCGGCCCCCUGGACCAAUACUGACACUGAGGUACGAAAGCGUGGGUAGCGAACAGGAUUAGAAACCCCAGUAGUCC